rnacentral:rRNA from 1 species
ACCCAAAGACGUUUUAGCUAACCUGUUAAAGGAGGCGAGUGCCUAAGGUAUGGGGGAUGAUUGGGGUGAAGUCGUAACAAGGUAGCUGUAGGUGAACCUGCAGAAGGAUCA